rnacentral:rRNA from 1 species
UACGUAGGGUGCAAGCGUUAAUCGGAAUUACUGGGCGUAAAGCGUGCGCAGGCGGUUGUGCAAGACCGAUGUGAAAUCCCCGGGCUUAACCUGGGAAUGGCAUUGGUGACUGCACGGCUAGAGUGUGUCAGAGGGGGUAGAAUUCCACGUGUGAGCAGUGAAAUGCGUAGAGAUGUGGAGGAAUACCGAUGGCGAAGGCAGCCCCCUGGGAUAACACUGACGCUCAUGCACGAAAGCGUGGGGAGCAAACAGG